rnacentral:lncRNA from 1 species
GAUUGCCCGAGUCUGAAGCUACUUGGGAGAAUGAGGGAGAUCUAUGGCAAUUUGAGUCAGAGCUUCAGAAUUACAUGGCGACGAGGGCGUCGCCAAAUUCGGUGGGGGAGUGACUUACGCCCCACGCGGUCGCGUUCGAUCCAUCCCGGUAGUGGCCGCAAAAUAGCGUGAACCGCACGCUGCAAUAGGAUGGAAUGGGCAGAAUGCAGGCUGCCUAAAAUGGUGCAACUUUUCGGGACUUUCAUGAGGUUUUUCUAGAUCCCGACCCCGCCAUUUUGGAGGAAAAAUACAUGAACCUGCAGCGGGAUAUUUUGGGGUGCAAGUAGGCAACUUGCACAACUUGUCCACUUGUGCCACUUGCAAGAUAUUACCAAAGAUAUGAGCUAAGCGCGAGUUGGCGAAGAUAUUAUCAAAGGUGCAAGCUAAGCACGAGUUGGCAAGAAUAAUAUCUUCUAUGCAAGCUAAGAUCGAGUUGGCGACAACUUGCAAGGAAAGUUGUAAACAAAUCCACUUGAUGACAACUAAGAACGAGUUGUAAACAACUAAGCAUAGGUUGUAAAGUAAGGCCACUUGAUCUUAAGGAGGUUUAAGUUUUGCCUAUAAAUAGAGGUAGAAAUCUCAUUUGUAAAUCAUGUAGAGUUGAGUGAAUUUAUUCCUUAGAGAGAUUGUAAAGUUUUCCCUUUCAUAUAUACAAAGAAAGUUUCCCGACCUUACUUGUUUUUCAUAUAUCCUUUACUUCAAAAUUCUCCUCUCAACGUGGGUAUAAUUUAGCCUCCUUGGUUAAAUUAUUUGUGAGCGUGAAAAGGCUGACUUAACGUUUUCUCGUGAGGCGCGGGAAUUGUCAAGCGUUAAGGCCGCACGGUUCUAGUUGUUCGGGUGUAACGAAACUAGGUCCGUGACAAGUAGCUCUUUGAGAUCAAAUAGUGCAUAGAUCUCAUUCAAGGGAUAGAUCUGAGCACAAAUGAAGGUCACGAUCUUGUUGGUUGUCCAACAGGUCAUGAUCCCAUUCACGAUCUAAACACAUCUUUUUGUAUAAUACGCUCCAAAAGGUUAAAAUCUCGUUCACACUUUCGCAGAUACACAUUGAAGCAUUGUAAGUGCUUAUAAGCCUGCUCUUUCAAGUAUUUCUCCAAAAUAAAAUAUAAAAAACACACAUAAAUUUUUGAGAAGCUAUCCCAAUUUUAGUUUGCUACUGAAUAUUUUUUCACUCCCAAAAUGCAAUCUUGAAUCUAUUUAAGGUGUUGUUUUCAAUCGGUUGCUUAUUCAUAUUUCUGGCCUUCGUGUUGAGUUGAUUGAGAAGUGAGAUGUUUUACAUGAAUCAUGAGUCCACAUAUUGCUGAGAAUAUGGUAAUGAUUUUCCUUGAAUUGAAAACCCCAUUAUGACACUGUUGUGUAUUUAGGCAUUUAUAGUUUUGGCAAUUUGUUUAUUAUGUGAUGCAAUCUGGUUAUGCAGGUGACAAAGAACAUAAUGAUGACUGCCAAAAAAUUCUUAGAUUUGUGGAAAUACCUAUGAUUGAGG